ACCUCGCCCUCCUGAGUCCCGGCAGUUAGGGCGCCAAGCUGUUGCUAUCUCUCAGGUGCCCUGGCGCUAGGACAGGGUCUGAGGGGGGGGACGUAGGAACCUGAGGGAAGUAGGCCAGCCGACUUUGCCUCCCGGCAUCAGCGCUCCCGAGUUCCCAGCAGCGCCGGGCGUCCGCGCGCUCCCGGGGCCUUGGCGUUCUGAGGCGAAGGGGCCCGGGGAGGCUCGGACUCGAGAGGCCGUGUCCGACUCUGGCCUGCGCGACUCUGCUCGUUCCACGCCAGCACCUUGUCACCCCCGGCCAAGGGCCUGCGCGCCGCCGACAGGAUGGUACGAGACUUCUGGGAGCCUCAAAUGCUCCCUUUCCUGGAUCUGUGACCCAGGGUGAGGUGUUACACCAUCUUCCUGGCAGCCCAAGCUCCCACCCAGAGUCCUGCUCUUCCUCUCCAUCCUGCCUCUCCAGUUUGCUUCUCCUUUGCUGGCUGAAGUGGCCAGGAGAGUGCUCAUGGGUGGGGGAUUUGUAAUUCAUUAAUCAGCAAGAGGCACCGGACCAGUUUCAACACCAGAGGCUUCAGGGGUGACUCAGCGAGACCGACCGCUUGGAUUCAGGCGAUGGACAGACCAAGAGUCCCCAUUUGUGAAAUGCUUCCCCAUGAAGACAUUUGGCUAUCUCCUGCCUUUGGGGUUCGGGUUGUGGGUUUUUUCCAGUGAUGGGGUAGGGGUGAUUUGGCCCGGGACUGCUCUCCCUCCUUCCUUCCCUCAGGCCUGGGCUGGGACUUGCUGGGCGGGAUCCCUAGGGGACCCAUAAGCCUGGACCCUCCCUGGAGGGUCUCCCUCCCUCUACAGAGGGCUGCCAAGGAGAGUGCAGAGGAAACAGCUCUCAUCUGGCGAUGUGUGGCUUUUCUUGGGGGACAGUCAGCUGGGGGACAAGGCUUGAGUGCUCUAGAACCAGAUCACCAAUUAAAUCCCUUGGUAAUAAGCUGCUUUUGUUGUUGUUCAUUUGCUCUUUCAAAGAGGGAGAGGCGCUGGUGGGCCAGACC